GACGAACGCUGGCGGCGUGCCUAAUACAUGCAAGUCGAGCGGANUGAUGGGAGCUUGCUCCCAUCAGUCAGCGGCGGACGGGUGAGUAACACGUGGGUAACCUGCCUGUAAGACUGGGAUAACUCCGGGAAACCGGGGCUAAUACCGGAUAACUCAUUUCCUCGCAUGAGGAAAUGUUGAAAGGUGGCUUUUAGCUAUCACUUACAGAUGGACCCGCGGCGCAUUAGCUAGUUGGUGAGGUAAUGGCUCACCAAGGCGACGAUGCGUAGCCGACCUGAGAGGGUGAUCGGCCACACUGGGACUGAGACACGGCCCAGACUCCUACGGGAGGCAGCAGUAGGGAAUCUUCCGCAAUGGACGAAAGUCUGACGGAGCAACGCCGCGUGAGUGAUGAAGGUUUUCGGAUCGUAAAGCUCUGUUGUUAGGGAAGAACAAGUACCGUUCGAAUAGGGCGGUACCUUGACGGUACCUAACCAGAAAGCCACGGCUAACUACGUGCCAGCAGCCGCGGUAAUACGUAGGUGGCAAGCGUUGUCCGGAAUUAUUGGGCGUAAAGCGCGCGCAGGUGGUUCCUUAAGUCUGAUGUGAAAGCCCACGGCUCAACCGUGGAGGGUCAUUGGAAACUGGGGAACUUGAGUGCAGAAGAGGAA
rnacentral:rRNA from 1 species